AAUCUUCCGCAAUGGACGAAAGUCUGACGGAGCAACGCCGCGUGAGCGAUGAAGGCCUUCGGGUCGUAAAGCUCUGUUGUUAGGGAAGAACAAGUACGAGAGUAACUGCUCGUACCUUGACGGUACCUAACCAGAAAGCCCCGGCUAACUACGUGCCAGCAGCCGCGGUAAUACGUAGGGGGCAAGCGUUGUCCGGAAUUAUUGGGCGUAAAGGGCUCGUAGGCGGUUUCUUAAGUCUGAUGUGAAAGCCCACAGCUCAACUGUGGAGGGUCAUUGGAAACUGGGGAACUUGAGUGCAGAAGAGGAGAGUGGAAUUCCACGUGUAGCGGUGAAAUGCGUAGAUAUGUGGAGGAACACCAGUGGCGAAGGCGACUCUCUGGUCUGUAACUGACGCUGAGGAGCGGAAGCGUGGGGAGCAAACAGG
rnacentral:rRNA from 1 species